UGCCCUGACAGUUGGCAAAGAGAUACUUUGUUGGAGUAUUGUUCUUAUAUCAGGCAGAGGCAGAGCAUAUGGAAGUUCUUUGUUCUUCCUAGCUAGAUGUCUGGCUUGGUAGCCAAAGCUGUUUUAUACCUAGGACACAUAA